CGCGGUAAUACGGAGGGUGCAAGCGUUACUCGGAAUCACUGGGCGUAAAGGAUGCGUAGGCUGGAAAUCAAGUCGAGAGUGAAAUCCAACGGCUCAACCGUUGAACUGCUCUCGAAACUGGUUACCUAGAAUAUGGGAGAGGUAGAUGGAAUUGGUGGUGUAGGGGUAAAAUCCGUAGAUAUCACCAGGAAUACCGAUUGCGAAGGCGAUCUACUGGAACAUUAUUGACGCUGAGGCAUGAAAGCGUGGGGAGCAAACAGGAUUAGAUACCCUGGUAGUCCACGCCCUAAACGAUGCACACUAGUUGUUGCGAUGCUAGUCAUUGCAGUAAUGCACUUAACAGAUUAAGUGUGCCGCCUGGGGAGUACGGUCGCAAGAUUAAAACUCAAAGGAAUAGACGGGGACCCGCACAAGCGGUGGAGCAUGUGGUUUAAUUCGAAGAUACACGAAGAACCUUACCUGGGCUUGAUAUCCUAAGAAUCCUGUAGAGAUAUGGGAGUGCUAGUUUACUAGAACUUAGAGACAGGUGCUGCACGGCUGUCGUCAGCUCGUGUCGUGAGAUGUUGGGUUAAGUCCCGCAACGAGCGCAACCCUCGUGAUUAGUUGCUAACAGUUCGGCUGAGCACUCUAAUCAGACUGCCUUCGCAAGGAGGAGGAAGGUGAGGACGACGUCAAGUCAUCAUGGCCCUUAUGCCCAGGGCUACACACGUGCUACAAUGGCUAGGACAAAGAGAAGCGAUACUGCGAAGUGGAGCAAAUCUUAAAACCUAGUCUCAGUUCGGAUUGGAGUCUGCAACUCGACUCCAUGAAGCUGGAAUCGCUAGUAAUCGUAGAUCAGAUAUGCUACGGUGAAUACGUUCCCGGGUCUUGUACUCACCGCCCGUCACACCAUGGGAGUUGAAUUCACCCGAAGC
rnacentral:rRNA from 1 species